rnacentral:rRNA from 1 species
GACAGAGGGGGCAAGCGUUGCUCGGAAUUACUGGGCGUAAAGGGCGCGUAGGCGGGAUGGCAAGUCGGUCGUGAAAUCCCUCGGCUCAACCGAGGAACGUCGAUCGAUACUGCUGUUCUUGAGGAUUGCAGAGGAGACUGGAAUUCCCGGUGUAGCGGUGAAAUGCGCAGAUAUCAAGUGGAACACCAGUGGCGAAGGCGUGUCUCUGGACAUUUCCUGACGCUGAGGCACGAAAGCCAGGGGAGCAAACGGG